rnacentral:rRNA from 1 species
GACGAACGCUGGCGGCGUGCUUAACACAUGCAAGUCGAGCGAGCGGCGGACGGGUGAGUAAUGUAUGGGGACUGCCCGAUAGAGGGGGGUAACUACUGGAAACGGUGGCUAAUACCGCAUACUGUAGGAUAACCCAUAUGGGAUUAGCUGGUAGGUAAGGUAAUGGCUUACCUAGGCGACGAUCCCUAGCUGGUCUGAGAGGAUGAUCAGCCACACUGGGACUGAGACACGGCCCAGACUCCUACGGAGGCAGCAGUGGGGAAUAUUGCACAAUGGGCGCAAGCCUGAUGCAGCCAUGCCGCGGGUAUGAAGAAGGCCCUAGGGUUGUAAAGUACUUUCAGUCGGGAGGCGUUACCGACAGAAGAAGCACCGGCUAACUCCGUGCCAGCAGCCGCGGUAAUUC